rnacentral:pre_miRNA from 1 species
CUUGGCACAGGUAAAGAUGAGAGAAAAACAUCAGAGAAGAGAGAAAUGUGGUCCCUCUCUAUCCACCCACCCAUUAGUCUCUCGUUUCUUUUCUUCUUUUUCUCUUAUCUUUUAUCUGUGCUUAGC